CGUCCAAUUAGGAUCAGGCGGAUGGCAGAAGAACGAAGCACAAUGAUCAGGACCACUGGCUCGUUGGACCCCAGACACAGCAACCAUGGCCAAAGGGGUCGCAUGGCAUGGAGAUGGCCCCAACUACCGGCACUUCCCGACACCGAUGCAGAUGGUCUGAGGCGAUGACUCCGAUAAAUCCGAAGACGGUGAAGAACUCCAAGGACGUAACUAGCAUGCAAACACUACC
rnacentral:lncRNA from 1 species